rnacentral:rRNA from 1 species
GGGAAGAGCUCAAAUUUGAAAGCUUGCAGCAAUGCACGCGUUGUAAUCUCGAGAAGUGUUUUCCGUGCUGGACCAUGGACAAGUUCCUUGGAAUAGGAUGUCAUAGAGGGUGAGAACCCCGUCUUUGCCAUGGACGCCCAGUGCUUUGUGAUACACUUUCGAAGAGUCGAGUUGUUUGGGAAUGCAGCUCAAAAUGGGUGGUAAAUUCCAUCUAAAGCUAAAUAUUGGGGAGAGACCGAUAGCAAACAAGUACCGUGAGGGAAAGAUGAAAAGCACUUUGGAAAGAGAGUUAAACAGUACGUGAAAUUGUCAAAAGGGAAGCGCUUCAAGUCAGACGUGUAACGCGGUAUUCAGCCUCACGGCGUUUUUACCGCGCUACUGGCCAGCAUCGAUUUUGGACGACGGAUAAGGGUGCGGGGAACGUGGCACCUUCGGGUGUGUUAUAGCCCUGCACUGGAUACGUCGCCUGGGAUCGAGGAACGCAGCGCACCCGCAAGGGCAAGUCUUCGGACAUUCUUGCGCUUAGGAUGCUGGCGUAAUGGCUUGAAGCGGCCCGUCUUGAACACGGGACCAA